AAGUCGUAACAAGGUUUCCGUAGGUGAACCUGCGGAAGGAUCAUUACCGAGUGAGGGUCUCUCAGGCCCGACCUCCCACCCCGUGUUUUUGUGACCUUGUUGCUUUGGCGGGCCCGCCUCGACGAGAGGCCGCCGGAAGCUCACCGCUUUGGGCCCGUGCCCGCCAGUAGCCCCCUUAAAUUCUUAAUAAAUCUGUCGUCUGAGUCCAUAGAUAUAAUGAAAAAAAACUUUCAACAACGGAUCUCUUGGUUCUG
rnacentral:misc_RNA from 1 species